CAGUCGCCGCGGGAAUACGUAGGGUGCGAGCGUUAAUCGGAAUUACUGGGCGUAAUGCGUGCGCAGGCGGUUCGUUAAGACAGAUGUGAAAUCCCCGGGCUUAACCUGGGAACUGCAUUUGUGACUGACGGGCUAGAGUAUGGCAGAGGGGGGUAGAAUUCCACGUGUAGCAGUGAAAUGCGUAGAGAUGUGGAGGAAUACCGAUGGCGAAGGCAGCCCCCUGGGCCAAUACUGACGCUCAUGCACGAAAGCGUGGGGAGCAAACAGGAUUAGAUACCCGAGUAGUCCCUGUCUCUUAUAA
rnacentral:rRNA from 1 species